GAUAUCACUUAAUAUAUCACAUGAUUCACAGGCAAGGAACAAUCAAACCCUACGUGGCCUACAAUGUGUUGGAGAUAUUUUUUCCUCCAUUUGUAGUGCACAUACUAAUUGUAUCGUUACGGAAGACCGGGAAACUGCAGAAGUCUUCCUGCAUCAAGUGGACAGUUUAUGAUGGUACAUAUUUCAUGAAUCAUUAACACAUGGAUCUUGAAGGCAAGACAUUUGGAGGAGGUAAUAUUGUUUAGAAUAAG